rnacentral:rRNA from 1 species
GAUAAACGCUGGCGGCGUGCAUUAUGCAUGCAAGUCGAACGGUGCCGCAAGGCACAGUGGCAAACGGGUGAGUAACACAUAAGUAAUCUGUCCCUGAGUGGGGAAUAAUUAGCCGAAAGGCUGACUAAUACCGCAUGUGAUGCCCUUUCAUAUGGAAGGUCAUCAAAGCCGUAAGGCGCUCGGGGAGGGCUUGUGCCCGAUUAGCUAGUUGGUGAGGUAAUGGCCCACCAAGGCUGUGAUCGGUAGCUGGUCUGAGAGGAUGGUCAGCCACACUGGGACUGAGACACGGCCCAGACUCCUACGGGAGGCUG